rnacentral:rRNA from 1 species
CCUACGGGUGGCAGCAGUGGGGAAUAUUGCACAAUGGGGGAAACCCUGAUGCAGCGACGCCGCGUGAGUGAAGAAGUAUCUCGGUACGUAAAGCUCUAUCAGCAGGGAAGAAAAUGACGGUACCUGACUAAGAAGCCACGGCUAACUACGUGCCAGCAGCCGCGGUAAUAAGUAGGGGGCAAGCGUUAUCCGGAUUUACUGGGGGUAAAGGGGGCGUAGACGGCAGCACAAGUCUGGAGUGAAAUCCCGGGGGUUAACCCCGGAACUGCUUUGGAAACUGGGCGGCUUGAGUGCAGGAAGGGUAAACGGAAUUCCUGGUGUAGCGGUGAAAUGCGUAGAUAUUAGGAGGAACACCGGUGGCGAAGGCGGCUUACUGGACUGUAACUGACGUUGAGGCUCGAAAGCGUGGGGAGCAAACAGGAUUAGAUACCCCUGUAGUC